CUUAAAUCGAUUUCAGCCCGUGAU
rnacentral:siRNA from 1 species